rnacentral:misc_RNA from 1 species
UCACGUCUUACGACGGCAGUUUCACUAGAGUUCCCAGCGUUACCUGAUGGCAACUAGUGAUGGGGGUUGCGCUCGUUGCGGGACUUAACCCAACACCUCACGGCACGAGCUGACGACAGCCACGCAGCACCUGUGACGAUGCCCCGAAGGGAAGCCGUGUUUCCACGGCGGUCACCGACAUGUCAAGCCCAGGUAAGGUUCUUCGCGUUGCGUCGAAUUAAACCACAUGCUCCGCUGCUUGUGCGGGUCCCCGUCAAUUCCUUUGAGUUUUAGCCUUGCGGCCGUACUCCCCAGGCGGGGCACUUAAUGCGUUAGCGCCGGCACGGGGGGAGUCGACACCCCCCACACCUAGUGCCCAUCGUUUACGGCGUGGACUAC